AUGAACGCUAGCUACAGGCUUAACACAUGCAAGUCGAGGGGCAGCAUGAACUUAGCUUGCUAAGUUUGAUGGCGACCGGCGCACGGGUGAGUAACACGUAUCCAACCUGCCGAUGACUCGGGGAUAGCCUUUCGAAAGAAAGAUUAAUACCCGAUGGCAUAGUUCUUCCGCAUGGUAGAACUAUUAAAGAAUUUCGGUCAUCGAUGGGGAUGCGUUCCAUUAGGUUGUUGGCGGGGUAACGGCCCACCAAGCCUUCGAUGGAUAGGGGUUCUGAGAGGAAGGUCCCCCACAUUGGAACUGAGACACGGUCCAAACUCCUACGGGAGGCAGCAGUGAGGAAUAUUGGUCAAUGGACGAGAGUCUGAACCAGCCAAGUAGCGUGAAGGAUGACUGCCCUAUGGGUUGUAAACUUCUUUUAUACGGGAAUAAAGUGAGGCACGUGUGCCUUUUUGUAUGUACCGUAUGAAUAAGGAUCGGCUAACUCCGUGCCAGCAGCCGCGGUAAUACGGAGGAUCCGAGCGUUAUCCGGAUUUAUUGGGUUUAAAGGGAGCGUAGGCGGACGCUUAAGUCAGUUGUGAAAGUUUGCGGCUCAACCGUAAAAUUGCAGUUGAUACUGGGUGUCUUGAGUACAGUAGAGGCAGGCGGAAUUCGUGGUGUAGCGGUGAAAUGCUUAGAUAUCACGAAGAACUCCGAUUGCGAAGGCAGCCUGCUGGACUGUAACUGACGCUGAUGCUCGAAAGUGUGGGUAUCAAACAGGAUUAGAUACCCUGGUAGUCCACACAGUAAACGAUGAAUACUCGCUGUUUGCGAUAUACAGUAAGCGGCCAAGCGAAAGCGUUAAGUAUUCCACCUGGGGAGUACGCCGGCAACGGUGAAACUCAAAGGAAUUGACGGGGGCCCGCACAAGCGGUGGAGCAUGUGGUUUAAUUCGACGCAACGCGAAGAACCUUACCAGGUCUUGACAUCCACUUAAACUUACAGAGAUGUAAGGUGUGCUUGCACAAAGUGAGACAGGUGGUGCAUGGUUGUCGUCAGCUCGUGUCGUGAGAUGUUGGGUUAAGUCCCGCAACGAGCGCAACCCUUAUCCUUUGUUGCCAGCGGUCCGGCCGGGAACUCAAAGGAGACUGCCAGUGAUAAACUGGAGGAAGGUGGGGAUGACGUCAAAUCAGCACGGCCCUUACGUCCGGGGCUACACACGUGUUACAAUGGGGGGUACAGAAGGCAGCUACACGGCGACGUGAUGCUAAUCCCUAAAGCCUCUCUCAGUUCGGAUUGGAGUCUGCAACCCGACUCCAUGAAGCUGGAUUCGCUAGUAAUCGCGCAUCAGCCACGGCGCGGUGAAUACGUUCCCGGGCCUUGUACACACCGCCCGUCAAGCCAUGAAAGCCGGGGGUACCUGAAGUGCGUAACCGCAAGGAGCGCCCUAGGGUAAAACUGGUGAUUGGGGCU
rnacentral:rRNA from 1 species